CUCGUAGGCGGCUUGUCGCGUCGACUGUGAAAUCUCAGGGCUCAACUCUGACAUUGCAGUCGAUACGGGCAGGCUAGGGUUCGGUAGGGGAGACUGGAAUUCCUGGUGUAGCGGUGAAAUGCGCAGAUAUCAGGAGGAACACCGGUGGCGAAGGCGGGUCUCUGGGCCGAUACUGACGCUGAGGAGCGAAAGCGUGGGGAGCGAACA
rnacentral:rRNA from 1 species